CACAUACUCCCUCCGUCCAGAAUUACUUGUCGCAUAAAUGGAUGUAUCUAGACGUAUUUUUAAUUCUAUAAUACAUCCAUUUCUACGACAAGUAAUUCGGGGCGGAGGGAGUAUUUU
rfam:Triticum urartu cultivar G1812 contig660872, whole genome shotgun sequence.